rnacentral:rRNA from 1 species
GACGAACGCUGGCGGCGUGCCUAAUACAUGCCAGUAGAACGCACAGUUUAUACCGUAGCUUGCUACACCAUAGACUGUGAGUUGCGAACGGGUGAGUAACGCGUAGGUAACCUGCCUGGUAGCGGGGGAUAACUAUUGGAAACGAUAGCUAAUACCGCAUAAUAUUAAUUAUUGCAUGAUAAUUAAUUGAAAGGUGCAAUUGCACCACUACCAGAUGGACCUGCGUUGUAUUAGCUAGUAGGUGAGGUAACGGCUCACCUAGGCGACGAUACAUAGCCGACCUGAGAGGGUGAUCGGCCACACUGGGACUGAGACACGGCCCAGACUCCUACGGGAGGCAGCAGUAGGGAAUCUUCGGCAAUGGACGAAAGUCUGACCGAGCAACGCCGCGUGAGUGAAGAAGGGUUUCGGAUCGUAAAGCUCUGUUGUAAGAGAAGAACGGGUGUGAGAGUGGAAAGUUCACACUGUGACGGUAUCUUACCAGAAAGGGACGGCUAACUACGUG